rnacentral:rRNA from 1 species
UACGUAGGGUGCGAGCGUUGUCCGGAAUUAUUGGGCGUAAAGGGCUCGUAGGCGGUCUGUCGCGUCGAAAGUGAAAACCCAGGGCUUAACCCUGGGCCUGCUUCCGAUACGGGCAGACUAGAGGUAUGCAGGGGAGAACGGAAUUCCUGGUGUAGCGGUGAAAUGCGCAGAUAUCAGGAGGAACACCGGUGGCGAAGGCGGGUCUCUGGGCAACAACUGACGCUGAGGAGCGAAAGCGUGGGGAGCGAACAGG